rnacentral:rRNA from 1 species
GACGAACGCUGGCGGCGUGCUUAACACAUGCAAGUCGAACGGAAAGGCCCUGCUUUUGUGGGGUGCUCGAGUGGCGAACGGGUGAGUUACACGUGAGUAACCUGCCCUUGACUUUGGGAUAACUUCAGGAAACUGGUGCUAAUACCGGAUAGGAGCUCCUGCUGCAUGGUGGGGGUUGGAAAGUUUCGGCGGUUGGGGAUGGACUCGCGGCGUAUCAGCUUGUUGGUGGGGUAGUGGCUUACCCAGGCUUUGACGGGUAGCCGGCCUGAGAGGGUGACCGGCCACAUUGGGACUGAGAUACGGCCCAGACUCCUACGGGAGGCAGCAGUGGGGAAUAUUGCACAAUGGGCGGAAGCCUGAUGCAGCAACGCCGCGUGCGGGAUGACGGCCUUCGGGUUGUAUACCGCUUUCGCCUGUGACGAAGCGUGAGUGACGGUAAUGGGUAAAGAAGCACCGGCUAACUACGUG